rnacentral:rRNA from 1 species
CCUGGCGCUUAUUCCGGAGGGGCAACACCCGUUCCCAUUCCGAACACGGCAGUUAAGCCCUCCAGGGCCGAUGGUAGUUGUCGCGUAAGUGACCGCAAGAGUAGGUCGGUGCCAGGG